rnacentral:ncRNA from 1 species
ACGCAACUCUGGAGAGCGCGCAGGAAGUGUGCCACCAACGGGGAAAUCUCCAUGACCAAAAUGGAGCUAAACUCUCAGGUAAAAGGACAGAGAAGGG